rnacentral:rRNA from 1 species
GACGAACGCUGGCGGCGGGCUUAACACAUGCAAGUCGAACGGAAAGGCCCUGCUUUUGUGGGGUGCCCGAGUGGCGAACGGGUGAGUAACACGUGAGUAACCUGCCCUUGACUGUGGGAUAACUUCAGGAAACUGGGGCUAAUACCGGAUAGGAGCGCCUGCUGCAUGGGGGGGGUUGGAAAGUUUCGGCGGUGGGGGGUGGACUCGCGGCUUAUCAGCUUGUUGGUGGGGUAGUGGCUUACCAAGGCUUUGGCGGGUAGCCGGCCUGAGAGGGUGACCGGCCACAUUGGGCCUGCGAUACGGCCCAGACUCCUACGGGAGGCAGCAGUGGGGAAUAUUGCACAAUGGGCGGAAGCCUGAUGCAGCAACGCCGCGUGCGGGAUGACGGCCUUCGGGUUGUAAACCGCUUUCGCCUGUGACGAAGCGUGAGUGACGGUAAUGGGUAAAGAAGCACCGGCUAACUACGUG